ensembl:misc_RNA Metazoa_SRP Metazoan signal recognition particle RNA
GCUAGGCGUGGUGGUGUGUGCCUGUAAUCCCAGCUACUGGGGAGGCUGAGGCAGGAGAAUGGCUUGAACCCAGGAGGUGGAGGUUGCAGUGAGCCGAAAUCAUGCCACUGCACUCCAGCCUGGGUGACAGAGCAAGACUCUGCCUCAA